CCCUGUCUCAAAAAAAAAAAAAAAAAAAAUCAAAAAUCAAAAAACAACAACAAAAACCCAGGACUCGCAUCUGGAAUCUUUCACAACCUCUAGGACAGCACAAUGAAAGUAAAGGACAUCCGAGAACUUGUACUGCGCGGAGCUCAGAGAUGUGGCCCAGAGCAGCACGGCAGGUCACCACAGGGAGGCACUGCAGGUCACCACAGGCAGGCACUGCAGGUCACCACAGGGAGACACUGCAGGUCACCACAGGGAGGCACUGCAGGUCACCACAGGCAGGCACUGCAGGUCACCACAGGGAGGCACUGCAGGUCACCACAGGGAGGCACUGCAGGUCACCACAGGCAGGCACUGCAGGUCACCACAGGGAGGCACUGCAGGUCACCACAGGCAGGCACUGCAGGUCACCACAGGCAGGCACUACAGGUCACCACAGGGAGGCACUGCAGGUCACCACAGGGAGGCACUGCUGCACACAGCAGGUGGAGCCACAGAAAACAGUGACAACAUAGAUGCAGGAAGCAUAGAGAGCAGAUCACUUAAUUACUGCCAAUGGGUAGGAGAAAAAAAAAAAAAAAAAAAAAAGAAGGAGGCACAGCUACCCCAAAACAGAAAACAAAGGUACAUUAUAUGAACAAUGCCAUAUCCCUGCUAUGGAGUAACAUUCAGCAACCAUUCCUGUCCCC
rnacentral:sRNA from 1 species